rnacentral:rRNA from 1 species
GACGAACGCUGGCGGCGUGCUUAACACAUGCAAGUCGAACGGAAAGGCCCUGCUUUUGUGGGGGGCUCGAGUGGCUAACGGGUGAGUAACACGUGAGUAACCUGCCCUUGACUUUGGGAUAACUUCAGUAAACUGGGGCUAAUACCGGAUAUGAGCUCCUGCUGCAUGGUGGGGGUUGGAAAGUUUCGGCGGUUGGGGUUGGACUCGCGGCUUAUCAGCUUGUUGGUGGGGUAGUGGCUUACCAAGGCUUUGACGGGUAGCCGGCCUGAGAGGGUGACCGGCCACACUGGGACUGAGAUACGGCCCAGACUCCUACGGGAGGCAGCAGUGGGGAAUAGUGCACAAUGGGCGGAAGCCUGAUGCAGCAACGCCGCGUGCGGGAUGACGGCCUUCGGGUUGUAAACCGCUUUCGCCUGUGACGAAGCGUGAGUGACGGUAAUGGGUAAAGAAGCACCGGCUAACUACGUG